CAUAAAAACAAAAAGUGCAAUGAAAGUAAUGUUAGUGUUUGUGUUCUUAGGCUGUACAGCUUUUUCUGUAGCUGAAGUUAUCGAGUUUUGCAGACCUGCCCAAGAAAACAAAUCAUACAACUUUAAUGACUUCAUAUUACAGCCAAGCAUUUUUGAUCUGUCAGAGUUUCAGAUCUUGAAAGAUCAUAUGGUGGUGUCAGCUGGCGAUACGGAUCUUUCUUUCAUAGACUAUUUCGAAGCUAUAGUCAAGACUGAUGUGUCCAGAGCAAGUGACGGGAGAGUGUCAGUCAGAAUGACGCUUCAAAAUGUCACAAGGCGCGAUCAAGGAACCUGGAGUUCUAAGUAUUAUCGAGGCGGCAGGUUGUACAGAUCUCGGGAACUCAACUGUCAACUCAAAACCUUCUUUAUACCUCAAGAUGUUACAUGCCAAAAUCAACUGAAUGGGGGAAGACUCAACAUACAAUGCAGCACUCAUAAAGUAUUCCCAAAAGCUGUUUGUGUGUUUCGGGUGUCAGACUUCGCAAACUCGUCAAAGCAGGAACUAACUACUGAGAACACCUACGAAAUGUUUUUGGAAGGAAACGACUCUUAUUUCCGUUCAACUUGUCACAUAUCAAUAGACCUGACCACUAGGCACCUAAAAGACUUAGAUGUUGACAUCACAAUGUAUCCAAACAUUACUAAUAGAUUGCAGGACAUUCACUAUGGAGCAGUCAAGUCAUUGCACUACAAACUAAUAAAUGCAGAGACUCCUCUUCCAAGAGACUGUUUAGAACUACCGAUUAAUUCAACUCACUUACUCUGUGCUUAUGGAGAGAUCAUUGAUACUGUACCAGAAGAAGCAGGCUCGACUAUGAAGUAUGACAUUCCAUUGGAGAACUCCAAGACAGACAUCAUACCAACGACCUUUAUAGCAGAAGGUGUCAUAGGGAGUUGUGAGCUUCAUACAGAUGAGGACGUUUUCGUGACCUGCUUUGUAAAACACACAGUUAAUCAAAAAGUUGCAAGCCAUCUUAUGAUACUAAAUGAAAUGUAUCUUGAAGUUUUAACAGCUGACGAAAAAUCAACAUUCUUAAAUUAUGAUUCGAUUGUAGAAGAUCAAAAUGCCUACAAGACUACUUACAGAUUCAACAUACGCCCAAAUCUGUUACAUUCCGGUGUCACAAUCUUCACUGUUACUCUAAAGACUUUAGAAGAUGGGAAGACUUUUAUGAAGAACAUUACGUUUGUUAUGAAGUCUGGUGAGAUGGGAAUGAAAAAACAAGUAAUGAAACAUCAUCUGACUACUUGAAUACGGUAAUUAUUUCUUGCAGCACAAUAUUUGCUGUCCUUUUUCUAGGCUGCAUAAUGUUUGUACUUUGUAAAAAAAUAUGGCAACACGACGAAGACAAAGACAAACAUGUAUAUGAAGAAAUUACCUACUCGGCGCAGCAGAGGCCAGAACCUACCUGUUUAUGAUUUAUAUGUUUAGUUAAUAUUUGUUACAUUACAUCAGUAUAAGCAUUCUAAUUGAAGAUUAUUUUAAGUCAGGCAUCCACACAGACCUGAAACUACCUCGUAGAUAUUUUAAGCAUAUUAUUAAAACGUUUUGUCCAAUGCUUGGAAUCAAAAGAAUUUCUAAGAUCAUAGACAACUGCAGAGAACAAUAGUAUUAGUAGAUAUAGAACUAUAUAAGCUUAUUGUACACUGUUGGUAUACUAAAUGUCAAAUGGCAAGACAAAAUACUAGAUACAGAAGUCCUUCGAAGAGCGUGUCUGCAAAGCAUCCACACAAUCCUGAUGCAGUCCCAGCUGCGAUGGGCAGGUUACGUCUACAGAAUGGAAGACCACCGCAUCCCUAAACGACUCUUGUAUGGCCAACUAAGCGAAUGAAAGCGCUCGCAAGGUGGUCAAAAAAAGCGCUUCAGGGACACCCUCAAAGCUUCUCUGAAGGCGUUCAGCAUAGACCCAGGCACCUGGGAGACAGAGGCACAUGACAGAGCAUCAUGGCGUCGCGCUGUGAAAACUGGCGCACAGGUUGCUGAGGAAAAAAGAACAACUAUGGCAGAAGAAAAACGCCAGAAAAGAAAAGCAAGACAAACGACACAAGCUCCAGCUGGAAUAACCUGCCCAGUAUGCAGCCGAACAUUCCGGGCUCACAUAGGUCUCACCAGCCACACGAGGAGACAUAAAACCCCAGUGCAAAGCGCUCAGCCCCUGGAUGACAAAGUGGUCAUCAUCGAACCACGAUGGACGAACUAUAUAUACACUGUUGGUUCAGUAAGAAUGGCUGCUUAGCCUCGGGAAAUAAUCUCUUCCUCAAUAAUCUCGAAGACAGACUGCAACAAAGGGCAGCAAAGAUUACGGUUACUAAGAAAACGGUCCUCGUUUAAGGUUAGCGAAAAGGCCUUGGCUAUGUUUUGUCACCCUCACAUCUGCAAUAUUUUAAGUUUUAGUACCACUGUCUGGCAUGGUAAUCUAAGGAUUAAAAAUGAAAAUAAACUUUACAGAAUCCUAAAUGCUACUGGUAAAAUCAUUGGCAAAAAAACAAACCCCAUUUGGGUAGCUGUUUGAGACAAACAUCAAUAAAAAAAGCUAAAAAGAUUCUAUAAAUAAAAAAUCACACUUUUUGUCAGGAUUCUGUGAUUUUAUCAUCACAAAAUAGAUACAAAACACCAAUAGCAAAAACAAACAGACACAAACACUCUUUUGUUCCCCUGGAAAUCAAAUCAUUAAAUAGAAACAAUCCAAUAUAAACUUUUCGCAUGUAAAUUAUGAGUGAGUCUGGUGUGAAUGUACAUUUUGGUUUCUUAUAGUUUUAAUGCUUUUUUGAUUGGUGUAAUGCACAAAUUGUAAAACAAAUUUCCAUACGGACAAAAAAAAAAUAUUAUUAUUAUUAUUAUUAUUAUUAUUAACUGAUUUCCAUCAUCUAGCGUCAAAAAAAACAUACGGACUAUUCUGUAUGCAUUUUAUUAUCUUUUGAUAUAAAAACAAU